rnacentral:misc_RNA from 1 species
CAACCAUCAAGCCCCGGCGCUUGUGUUGGGGACCCGCGGCUGCCGCGGGCCCUUAAAGACAGUGGCGGUCUCGCUGCAGCACCGAGCGUAGUAACAUACACAUCUCGCUCCGGGAGCUGCGCGUGCAACCCGCCGUGAAACCCCCCACCUCUCACAA